GAACGCACCCUUCGGGGUGAGUGGCGGACGGGUGAGUAACACGUGGGAACGUGCCCUUUGGUUCGGAAUAACUCAGGGAAACUUGAGCUAAUACCGGAUGAGCCCUACGGGGGAAAGAUUUAUCGCCGAAGGAGCGGCCCGCGUCUGAUUAGCUAGUUGGUGAGGUAAAGGCUCACCAAGGCUACGAUCAGUAGCUGGUCUGAGAGGAUGAUCAGCCACACUGGGACUGAGACACGGCCCAGACUCCUACGGGAGGCAGCAGUGGGGAAUCUUGCGCAAUGGGCGAAAGCCUGACGCAGCCAUGCCGCGUGGAUGAUGAAGGUCUUAGGAUUGUAAAAUCCUUUCACCGGGGACGAUAAUGACGGUACCCGGAGAAGAAGCCCCGGCUAACUUCGUG
rnacentral:rRNA from 1 species